rnacentral:rRNA from 1 species
UACGUAGGGUGCAAGCGUUAAUCGGAAUUACUGGGCGUAAAGCGUGCGCAGGCGGCUUUGCAAGACAGAUGUGAAAUCCCCGGGCUUAACCGGGGAACUGCAUCUGAUACUGGAUGGCUUGAGUUCGGGAGAGGGAUGCGGAAUUCCAGGUGUAGCGGUGAAAUGCGUAGAUAUCUGGAGGAACACCGGUGGCGAAGGCGGCAUCCUGGACCGACACUGACGCUGAGGAGCGAAAGCCAGGGGAGCAAACGGG